AUUGAACGCUGGCGGCAUGCCUUACACAUGCAAGUCGAACGGUAACAGGUUAAGCUGGCGAGUGGCGAACGGGUGAGUAAUGUAUCGGAACGUGCCCAGUCGUGGGGGAUAACUGCUCGAAAGAGCAGCUAAUACCGCAUACGACCUGAGGGUGAAAGCGGUGGAUCGCAAGACCUCGCGCGAUUGGAGCGGCCGAUAUCAGAUUAGGUAGUUGGUGGGGUAAAGGCUCACCAAGCCGACGAUCUGUAGCUGGUCUGAGAGGACGACCAGCCACACUGGGACUGAGACACGGCCCAGACUCCUACGGGAGGCAGCAGUGGGGAAUGUUGGACAAUGGGCGCAAGCCUGAUCCAGCCAUGCCGCGUGCGGGAAGAAGGCCUUCGGGUUGUAAACCGCUUUUGUCAGGGAAGAAAAGGUUCUGGCUAAUACCUGGGAGUCAUGACGGUACCUGAAGAAUAAGCACCGGCUAACUACGUG
rnacentral:rRNA from 1 species